GGCUUCGUGGUUUAGGGGUAUAAUUCUCGCUUAGGGCUCACCCGAAGCGUUGUCUGCGAGAGGUCCCGGGUUCGAAUCCCGGCGAAGCCC